rnacentral:rRNA from 1 species
CCUACGGGUGGCAGCAGUCGAGAAUCAUUCACAAUGGGGGAAACCCUGAUGGUGCGACGCCGCGUGGGGGAAUGAAGGUCUUCGGAUUGUAAACCCCUGUCAUGUGGGAGCAAAUUAAAAAGAUAGUACCACAAGAGGAAGAGACGGCUAACUCUGUGCCAGCAGCCGCGGUAAUACAGAGGUCUCAAGCGUUGUUCGGAAUCACUGGGCGUAAAGCGUGCGUAGGCUGUUUCGUAAGUCGUGUGUGAAAGGCGCGGACUCAACCCGCGGACGGCACAUGAUACUGCGAGACUAGAGUAAUGGAGGGGGAACCGGAAUUCUCGGUGGAGCAGUGAAAUGCGUAGAUAUCGAGAGGAACACUCGUGGCGAAGGCGGGUUCCUGGACAUUAACUGACGCUGAGGCACGAAGGCCAGGGGAGCGAAAGGGAUUAGAUACCCCAGUAGUC